rnacentral:rRNA from 1 species
GACAGAGGGUGCAAACGUUGUUCGGAAUUACUGGGCGUAAAGCGUGUGUAGGCGGCCGCGCAAGUCGGAUGUGAAAUCCCCGGGCUCAACCCGGGAAGGGCACCCGAAACUGCACGGCUCGAGUACCGGAGAGGUUGGUGGAAUUCUCGGUGUAGAGGUGAAAUUCGUAGAUAUCGAGAGGAACACCGGUGGCGAAGGCGGCCAACUGGACGAGUACUGACGCUGAGACACGAAAGCGUGGGGAGCAAACAGG